rnacentral:misc_RNA from 1 species
AAUUCUCAACCUUACCAGCUUUUGCUGAUAAUGGCUUGGAUGUGGGGGUCUUUUGCUGGCUUUAGUCGGCUCCCCUCAAAUGUAUUAGCCGGUGCCCCGCGCAGAGCCGUCUAUUGGUGUGAUAAUUAUCUACGCCGUGGAUGUCUGCAUUAAUGGGAUUGUACUGCUUCUAACCGUCCUUUCAUGGACAACUUAAUGACA